AGUACGGCGGAACACGAGAAAUUCCGUCGGAAUCCGCGGGGACCAUCCCGCAAGGCUAAAUACUCCCUAGUGACCGAUAGUGAACCAGUACCGUGAGGGAAAGGUGAAAAGCACCCCGGAAGGGGAGUGAAAUAGAUCCUGAAACCGUGUGCCUACAACAAGUCAAAGCUCGUUAAUGAGUGAUGGCGUGCCUUUUGUAGAAUGAACCGGCGAGUUACGAUUGCAUGCGAGGUUAAGUCGAAGAGACGGAGCCGCAGCGAAAGCGAGUCUGAAUAGGGCGAAUGAGUAUGUAGUCGUAGACCCGAAACCAUGUGAUCUACCCAUGUCCAGGUUGAAGGUGCGGUAAAACGCACUGGAGGACCGAACCCACGUACGUUGAAAAGUGCGGGGAUGAGGUGUGGGUAGCGGAGAAAUUCCAAACGAACUUGGAGAUAGCUGGUUCUCUCCGAAAUAGCUUUAGGGCUAGCCUCGGAAUUGAGAAUGAUGGAGGUAGAGCACUGUUUGGACUAGGGGCCCAUCUCGGGUUACCGAAUUCAGAUAAACUCCGAAUGCCAUUCAUUUAUAUCCGGGAGUCAGACUGCGAGUGAUAAGAUCCGUAGUCGAAAGGGAAACAGCCCAGACCACCAGCUAAGGUCCCAAAAUAUAUGUUAAGUGGAAAAGGAUGUGGGGUUGCACAGACAACUAGGAUGUUGGCUUAGAAGCAGCCACCAUUUAAAGAGUGCGUAAUAGCUCACUAGUCGAGUGACCCUGCGCCGAAAAUGUACCGGGGCUAAACAUAUUACCGAAGCUGUGGACUACACCAUUAGGUGUAGUGGUAGGAGAGCGUUCUAAGGGCGUUGAAGGUCGAUCGUGAGGACGGCUGGAGCGCUUAGAAGUGAGAAUGCCGGUAUGAGUAGCGAAAGACAGGUGAGAAUCCUGUCCACCGUAUGACUAAGGUUUCCUGGGGAAGGCUCGUCCGCCCAGGGUUAGUCGGGACCUAAGCCGAGGCCGAUAGGCGUAGGCGAUGGACAACAGGUUGAUAUUCCUGUACCAGUUGUUUUUGUUUGAGCAAUGGAGGGACGCAGUAGGCUAAGGAAUGCAUGCGAUUGGAAGUGCAUGUCCAAGCAAUGAGUCUUGAGUAGAGUUAAAUGCUUUACUCUUUAAGGACAAGUUGUGACGGGGAGCGAAAUAAUAGUAGCGAAGUUCCUGAUGUCACACUGCCAAGAAAAGCUUCUAGUGAGAAAACAACUGCCCGUACCGUAAACCGACACAGGUAGUCGAGGAGAGUAUCCUAAGGUGAGCGAGCGAACUCUCGUUAAGGAACUCGGCAAAAUGACCCCGUAACUUCGGGAGAAGGGGUGCUGACUUCGGUCAGCCGCAGUGAAUAGGCCCAAGCGACUGUUUAUCAAAAACACAGGUCUCUGCAAAAUCGUAAGAUGAAGUAUAGGGGCUGACGCCUGCCCGGUGCUGGAAGGUUAAGAGGAUGGGUUAGCUUCGGCGAAGCUCAGAAUUGAAGCCCCAGUAAACGGCGGCCGUAACUAUAACGGUCCUAAGGUAGCGAAAUUCCUUGUCGGGUAAGUUCCGACCCGCACGAAAGGCGUAACGAUUUGGGCACUGUCUCAACGAGAGACUCGGUGAAAUUUUAGUACCUGUGAAGAUGCAGGUUACCCGCGACAGGACGGAAAGACCCCAUGGAGCUUUACUGUAGUUUGAUAUUGAGUGUUUGUACCACAUGUACAGGAUAGGUAGGAGCCG
rnacentral:rRNA from 1 species